GGGCCCGCACAAGCGGUGGAGCAUGUGGUUUAAUUCGACGCAACGCGAAGAACCUUACCCAGACUUGACAUGCAUAGGACGGGUGUGGAAACACACCUUCCCUUCGGGGCCUGUGCACAGGUGCUGCAUGGCUGUCGUCAGCUCGUGUCGUGAGAUGUUGGGUUAAGUCCCGCAACGAGCGCAACCCUUGUCCUUAGUUGCUAACGGGUAAUGCUGAGCACUCUAGGGAGACUGCCGGUGAUAAACCGGAGGAAGGUGGGGAUGACGUCAAGUCCUCAUGGCCCUUACGUCUGGGGCUACACACGUGCUACAAUGGCCGGUACAAAGGGUUCCGAUACCGCGAGGUGGAGGCAAUCCCAAAAAACCGGUCUCAGUUCGGAUUGCAGUCUGCAACUCGACUGCAUGAAGUCGGAAUCGCUAGUAAUCGCUGAUCAGCAGGCAGCGGUGAAUACGUUCCCGGGCCUU
rnacentral:rRNA from 1 species